rnacentral:rRNA from 1 species
AACGAACGCUGGCGGCAUGCCUAACACAUGCCAGUCGAACGAGACCUUCGGGUCUAGUGGCGCACGGGUGCGUAACGCGUGGGAACCUGCCCUUAGGUUCGGAAUAACUCCCCGAAAGGGGUGCUAAUACCGGAUAAUGUCUUCGGACCAAAGAUUUAUCGCCUUUGGAUGGGCCCGCGUUGGAUUAGCUAGUUGGUAGGGUAAAAGUCUACCAAGGCGACGAUCCAUAGCUGGUCUGAGAGGAUGAUCAGCCACACUGGGACUGAGACACGGCCCAGACUCCUACGGGAGGCAGCAGUGGGGAAUAUUGGACAAUGGGCGAAAGCCUGAUCCAGCAAUGCCGCGUGAGUGAUGAAGGCCUUAGGGUUGUAAAGCUCUUUUACCCGGGAUGAUAAUGACAGUACCGGGAGAAUAAGCUCCGGCUAACUCCGUG